GAUGAAGAACGUAGUGAACGUGCGAAACGUAAUGUGAAUUGCAGAAUUCAGUGAAUCAUCGAAUCUUCGAACGCAUCUUGCGCUCCUUGGUAUUCCGAGGAGCAUGCCUGUUUGAGUGUCGUGAAUACUCUCAACUUCAACCCUUUUUUCGGAAAGGGAGGAAGGUUGGACUUGGGUGUUUGUUGAAGUGCGAGCUUCGACUCAUCCUAAAUGCAUUAGCGAUCUGCCUCGAUCACACACAAUGUGAUAAUUAAAACUAAAGCAUUGUUUAAUGAUCAAGUCGAGACUGCUUCUAACUGUCGCAAGACAAUAACGUGCAUACAUUUGUGCAUGUCAUUUGACCUCAAAUCAGGUAGGACUACCCGCUGAACUUAAGCAUAUCAAUAAGCGGAGGA
rnacentral:misc_RNA from 1 species